rnacentral:rRNA from 1 species
UUCGGGGAGCUUGCACAGGUGCUGCAUGGCUGUCGUCAGCUCGUGUCGUGAGAUGUUCGGUUAAGUCCGCUAACGAGCGCAACCCUCGUCGUGUGUUAUACGUGUCACACGAUACUGCCGGUAUCAAGCCGGAGGAAGGUGGGGAUGAUGUCAAGUCAGCAUGGCCUUUAUAUCCUGGGCUACACACACGCUACAAUGGCAGAUACAAUAGGUUGCGAAACCGCGAGGUGGAGUCAAUCCUCAAAGUCUGUCUCAGUUCAGAUUGUAGGCUGCAACUCGCCUGCAUGAAGUUGGAGUUGCUAGUAAACGCAGGUCAGCUAUACUGCGUUGAAUACGUUCCCGGGGUUU